UAAGUACCCCGAGGAAAAGAAAUCAACCGAGAUUCCCCCAGUAGCGGCGAGCGAACGGGGAGGAGCCCAGAGCCUGAAUCAGUGUGUGUGUUAGUGGAAGCGUCUGGAAAGGCGCGCGAUACAGGGUGACAGCCCCGUACACAAAAAUGCACAUAUUGUGAGCUCGAUGAGUAGGGCGGGACACGUGGUAUCCUGUCUGAAUAUGGGGGGACCAUCCUCCAAGGCUAAAUACUCCUGACUGACCGAUAGUGAACCAGUACCGUGAGGGAAAGGCGAAAAGAACCCCGGCGAGGGGAGUGAAAAAGAACCUGAAACCGUGUACGUACAAGCAGUGGGAGCCUCUUAAUGGGGUGACUGCGUACCUUUUGUAUAAUGGGUCAGCGACUUAUAUUCUGUAGCAAGGUUAACCGAAUAGGGGAGCCGAAGGGAAACCGAGUCUUAACUGGGCGUUAAGUUGCAGGGUAUAGACCCGAAACCCGGUGAUCUAGCCAUGGGCAGGUUGAAGGUUGGGUAACACUAACUGGAGGACCGAACCGACUAAUGUUGAAAAAUUAGCGGAUGACUUGUGGCUGGGGGUGAAAGGCCAAUCAAACCGGGAGAUAGCUGGUUCUCCCCGAAAGCUAUUUAGGUAGCGCCUCGUGAAUUCAUCUCCGGGGGUAGAGCACUGUUUCGGCAAGGGGGUCAUCCCGACUUACCAACCCGAUGCAAACUGCGAAUACCGGAGAAUGUUAUCACGGGAGACACACGGCGGGUGCUAACGUCCGUCGUGAAGAGGGAAACAACCCAGACCGCCAGCUAAGGUCCCAAAGUCAUGGUUAAGUGGGAAACGAUGUGGGAAGGCCCAGACAGCCAGGAUGUUGGCUUAGAAGCAGCCAUCAUUUAAAGAAAGCGUAAUAGCUCACUGGUCGAGUCGGCCUGCGCGGAAGAUGUAACGGGGCUAAACCAUGCACCGAAGCUGCGGCAGCGACACUAUGUGUUGUUGGGUAGGGGAGCGUUCUGUAAGCCUGUGAAGGUGGCCUGUGAGGGUUGCUGGAGGUAUCAGAAGUGCGAAUGCUGACAUAAGUAACGAUAAAGCGGGUGAAAAGCCCGCUCGCCGGAAGACCAAGGGUUCCUGUCCAACGUUAAUCGGGGCAGGGUGAGUCGACCCCUAAGGCGAGGCCGAAAGGCGUAGUCGAUGGGAAACAGGUUAAUAUUCCUGUACUUGGUGUUACUGCGAAGGGGGGACGGAGAAGGCUAUGUUGGCCGGGCGACGGUUGUCCCGGUUUAAGCGUGUAGGCUGGUUUUCCAGGCAAAUCCGGAAAACCAAGGCUGAGGCGUGAUGACGAGGCACUACGGUGCUGAAGCGACAAAUGCCCUGCUUCCAGGAAAAGCCUCUAAGCAUCAGGUAACAUCAAAUCGUACCCCAAACCGACACAGGUGGUCAGGUAGAGAAUACCAAGGCGCUUGAGAGAACUCGGGUGAAGGAACUAGGCAAAAUGGUGCCGUAACUUCGGGAGAAGGCACGCUGAUAUGUAGGUGAAGCGACUUGCUCGUGGAGCUGAAAUCAGUCGAAGAUACCAGCUGGCUGCAACUGUUUAUUAAAAACACAGCACUGUGCAAACACGAAAGUGGACGUAUACGGUGUGACGCCUGCCCGGUGCCGGAAGGUUAAUUGAUGGGGUUAGCGGUAACGCGAAGCUCUUGAUCGAAGCCCCGGUAAACGGCGGCCGUAACUAUAACGGUCCUAAGGUAGCGAAAUUCCUUGUCGGGUAAGUUCCGACCUGCACGAAUGGCGUAAUGAUGGCCAGGCUGUCUCCACCCGAGACUCAGUGAAAUUGAACUCGCUGUGAAGAUGCAGUGUACCCGCGGCAAGACGGAAAGACCCCGUGAACCUUUACUAUAGCUUGACACUGAACAUUGAGCCUUGAUGUGUAGGAUAGGUGGGAGGCUUUGAAGUGUGGACGCCAGUCUGCAUGGAGCCGACCUUGAAAUACCACCCUUUAAUGUUUGAUGUUCUAACGUUGGCCCGUAAUCCGGGUUGCGGACAGUGUCUGGUGGGUAGUUUGACUGGGGCGGUCUCCUCCUAAAGAGUAACGGAGGAGCACGAAGGUUGGCUAAUCCUGGUCGGACAUCAGGAGGUUAGUGCAAUGGCAUAAGCCAGCUUGACUGCGAGCGUGACGGCGCGAGCAGGUGCGAAAGCAGGUCAUAGUGAUCCGGUGGUUCUGAAUGGAAGGGCCAUCGCUCAACGGAUAAAAGGUACUCCGGGGAUAACAGGCUGAUACCGCCCAAGAGUUCAUAUCGACGGCGGUGUUUGGCACCUCGAUGUCGGCUCAUCACAUCCUGGGGCUGAAGUAGGUCCCAAGGGUAUGGCUGUUCGCCAUUUAAAGUGGUACGCGAGCUGGGUUUAGAACGUCGUGAGACAGUUCGGUCCCUAUCUGCCGUGGGCGCUGGAGAACUGAGGGGGGCUGCUCCUAGUACGAGAGGACCGGAGUGGACGCAUCACUGGUGUUCGGGUUGUCAUGCCAAUGGCACUGCCCGGUAGCUAAAUGCGGAAGAGAUAAGUGCUGAAAGCAUCUAAGCACGAAACUUGCCCCGAGAUGAGUUCUCCCUGAGACUUAGAGUCUCCUGAAGGAACGUUGAAGACGACGACGUUGAUAGGCCGGGUGUGUAAGCGCAGCGAUGCGUUGAGCUAACCGGUACUAAUGAACCGUGAGGCUUAACCUU
rnacentral:rRNA from 1 species